rnacentral:rRNA from 1 species
UACGAAGGGGGCUAGCGUUGUUCGGAAUUACUGGGCGUAAAGCGCACGUAGGCGGACAUUUAAGUCAGGGGUGAAAUCCCGGAGCUCAACCCCGGAACUGCCUUUGAUACUGGGUGUCUAGAGUCCGAGAGAGGUGAGUGGAAUUCCGAGUGUAGAGGUGAAAUUCGUAGAUAUUCGGAGGAACACCAGUGGCGAAGGCGGCUCACUGGCUCGGUACUGACGCUGAGGUGCGAAAGCGUGGGGAGCAAACAGG